GAUGAACGCUAGCGGGAGGCUUAAUACAUGCAAGUCGAGCGGUAUGAUAUAGCUUGCUAUAUCAGAGAGCGGCGCACGGGUGAGUAACGCGUACACAACCUACCUUUAAGUGGGGGAUAGCCUUUGGAAACGAAGAGUAAUACCCCAUAAUAUUGUUUUAUUGAUGAUUAGACAAUUAAAGCUCCGGCGCUUAAAGAUGGGUGUGCGUCCCAUUAAUUAGUUGGUAGGGUAACGGCCUACCAAGACGAUGAUGGGUAGGGGGCGUGAGAGCGUGAUCCCCCACACGGGUACUGAGACGCGGACCCG
rnacentral:rRNA from 1 species